rnacentral:rRNA from 1 species
AUGAACGCUGGCGGCGUGCUUAACACAUGCAAGUCGAACGGAAAGGCCCAAGCUUGCUUGGGUACUCGAGUGGCGAACGGGUGAGUAACACGUGGGUGAUCUGCCCUGCACUUCGGGAUAAGCCUGGGAAACUGGGUCUAAUACCGGAUAGGACCACUUCUUGGAUGUUGUGGUGGAAAGUUUUUUCGGUGUGGGAUGAGCUCGCGGCCUAUCAGCUUGUUGGUGGGGUAAUGGCCUACCAAGGCGUCGACGGGUAGCCGGCCUGAGAGGGUGUACGGCCACAUUGGGACUGAGAUACGGCCCAGCCUCCUACGGGAGGCAGCAGUGGGGAAUAUUGCACCAUGGGCGCCAGCCUGAUGCAGCGACGCCGCGUGGGGGAUGACGGCCUUCGGGUUGUAAACUCCUUUCGCUAGGGACGAAGCGUUUUGUGACGGUACCUGGAGAAGAAGCACCGGCUAACUACGUG